rnacentral:rRNA from 1 species
UACGUAGGGGGCUAGCGUUGUCCGGAAUCAUUGGGCGUAAAGAGCGUGUAGGCGGUCCGGUAAGUCCGCUGUGAAAGUCGGGGGCUCAACCCUCGAAUGCCGGUGGAUACUGUCGGGCUAGAGUGCGGAAGAGGCGAGUGGAAUUCCCGGUGUAGUGGUGGAAAUGCGUAGAUAAUCGGGAGGAACACCAGUGGCGAAGGCGACUACCUGCCUGUUCGUGACGCUGAGCGCGAAAGCGUGGGGAGCAAACUGGAAUAGAAACCCGU